CCGUAGCCUGGUAGCGGGGGGUAACUAUUGGAAACGAUAGCUAAUACCGCAUAAGAGUAGAUGUUGCAUGACAUUUGCUUAAAAGGUGCAAUUGCAUCACUACCAGAUGGACCUGCGUUGUAUUAGCUAGUUGGUGAGGUAGCGGCUCACCAAGGCGACGAUACAUAGCCGACCUGAGAGGGUGAUCGGCCACACUGGGACUGAGACACGGCCCAG
rnacentral:rRNA from 1 species